rnacentral:snRNA from 1 species
CUAGAUAUGAACAUGCAGUAUA